ensembl:lncRNA novel transcript, antisense to CXCR5
CAGUGGCUUAAGGGGUGCAGGGGUCUGGAGAAAUGAGACUGGGCUGUGGGUGAGGGUGUAGGUCUGUACCCCUUACCCCGUCUUUCUUCAGGAGGCCCACAGCCCCUAAAGACCAUCUGAGACUCUGGCUUGCCAUUUGUCACAUCUCCCUUGCCGCACCCACAGCCUUCAGGGACAAGUCUGUGAGACUCCUCUUUCAUCUCUACCCACGGGUUUUGGCCAUCAGAAGCAGGUCCACAUAUGCGGCCACUGUUUCUGCCGUUCUGCUAGAGGAGUGGGAUCAGCUGCAGCCUGCGUCCCUGGGGAAAGCAAGAGUUCCUGACGGAGACUCUGCAGUUUGUAUGCCCGAACCCAUAUUCACUUUGACCCUGACCCAUCCUCAGCUUGGCCUUGGGGCUCUCCCUCAUCUCUGACCCUUCCAACUACACCCCAGUUGGGCCUCCUCUGCUGGGGUUCCUCUGGGACUUUUGACCUGGUUGCGGGGGGCGGGUGGAGAACCUCCCUUUCCCCUAGAUGAAGCCCAGAAACAGCCUGAGCUGGUUUUGGUUCCUCUUCUUCACACCUACAUGAUGAAAUGAGAUGGUCCACGUGGACGGGCUGUGUCGCCUGUGAUGCUCUGGUCACACUGAAGUCAUGAUGUGUGGUAAUUGUCUAUGGAGAGGGGUCAUAGAAAGCCAGGCUCUGGGGCUUGGACCAGCUUCACCGUGCGCUAUAGCAGCUUCCCCUCCCGGCUGGUGUGCAGGGUGGGGCUGGAGGUAUAGUUUAUGACCAGCCUCUGUGGAUGCCCCAGCCCAGGCCCUGGUUCUGUUGGAAGGAGGCUCUCAGAUCGAGGGUCGCAUAGACAGGGUCUGCUCUAGGUCUGCCAGGAUCGGCCUUUCCAGCAGGAUGGGUCCCUGGCAUACCCACCCCAGGACCUGGAAUCUUCUUGUUCCUGGUUCUUAGCCAUCUAAUUUUUGUUCUAUUUGGACCUUUCAUUGAUGAGAAUUAGCAGCCCGUCCCCACCCCCCAGCCCCUGCCUUAAAGAAGUGGACAUUUUAAGCGGCUCGAGUUGGUCUUCGAGUUCAAGAGGACAAAUGGAAUACAGAAUGACGAACCUGGCUUAUGGCCAGGAGCCCCCAGUUCCUUUUUUUUUUUUUUUUCUGGCAAGUUUGUGUAACCAAAAGGCCCCAGUUCUUAGCUCAACAUGAGAGUGUAAAACCCAGCGUUCAAGGAAUGUGAACCAAUACCUGGUAUGGGCAAGGACAAGGAGGAGAAUAGGAAGCAGAAGGAAUAGAAGGACCCAGACUAACUCCAGAGGAAAAUGGUGAGCUAAGACCUUUACUGCAUCACAAAUCAAUAAAUACUUAUUGAGAAGCUGCUACAUGCAAGAUUCUCCUGCCUGUACCACUACGCCCGAGGUUUUUGUACUGUGACACUGAGGGACAGUCUGCCAAGCUGCUCACGGCCCUUCAGUGAGUGGGUGGGGGCGGAGGAGAGGGUCUGUGUUCUGAGGGGACAUUGGCCCUGGAGACAGGGUGUGUAGGAGAUUCGUGAAGGGGGAACGAGGCACUGGUGGCUGGCUGAAGAGCUCCAGAGCCCAGAUGGUCCUAGGACUCCUGGGCUCCUGGCUAGACCCUGAGUGAGGGAUCCAGAUAUUGGAAUGCCUG